AAAGGGCAAGGAGUUUUACCUUGUAACUUUGUAAAAAAAAAAAAACAACUAAAUCCUGGAUGGAUAAAAAUAGCGAGAGAAAGAGAGAGAGAUCAUUUUUAUUGGAUGUGGUCUAGUUAAUGCAGUUUGUCCAGAUCAAUGUGCUAACAGUGUAUGCGAUAAAUAUACAUCAGAAUGCAGCCUCGGUUGUAAUGCUGGAUAUCAAGGAACACUCUGCAAAUUAGAAUGUCAGGUUGGGAACUUCGGUCCAGACUGUUCCUACAACUGCAGCGUAGCCUGUCCAAAAAACUGUACGAAAGAUGAUGGUCGAUGUCUGAGUAUGGAAUGUCCUAAAGGGGCAUAUGGACAUAACUGUG
rnacentral:sRNA from 1 species